rnacentral:rRNA from 1 species
GAAACGACUGCUAAGACUGGAUAGGAAGAUAAAAGGCAUCUUGUAUCUUUUAAAAGACCUAGUUAAUAGGUAUGCUUUAGGAGGGGCUUGCGCCAUAUUAGCUAGUUGGUAGGGUAAUGGCCUACCAAGACGAUGAUGUGUAGCUGGACUGAGAGGUUGAACAGCCACAUUGGGACUGAGACACGGCCCAAACUCCUACGGGAGGCAGCAGUAGGGAAUUUUCGGCAAUGGAGGAAACUCUGACCGAGCAACGCCGCGUGAAUGACGAAGUACUUCGGUAUGUAAAGUUCUUUUAUCGAGGAAGAAAAGCAAAUGGCGAACCAUUUGUUUGCCGGUACUUGAUGAAUAAGCCCCGGCUAAUUAUGUGCCAGCAGCCGCGGUAAGACAUAAGGGGCAAGUGUUAUCCGGAAUUAUUGGGCGUAAAGGGUGCGUAGGCGGUCUAGUAAGUCAGUGGUGUAAUGUCAACGCUUAACGUUGUCCGGCUAUUGAAACUGCUAAACUUGAGUUAGAUAGAGGCGAGUGGAAUUCCAUGUGUAGCGGUAAAAUGCGUAAAUAUAUGGAGGAACACCAGAGGCGUAGGCGGCUCGCUGGGUCUUAACUGACGCUGAGGCACGAAAGCGUGGGGAGCAAACAGGAUUAGAUACCCUGGUAGUCCACGCCGUAAACGAUGAGUACUAAGUGUCGGGUUAAACCGGUACUGAAGUUAACACAUUAAGUACUCCGCCUGAGUAGUACGUACGCAAGUAUGAAACUUAAAGGAAUUGACGGGACUCCGCACAAGCGGUGGAUCAUGUUGUUUAAUUCGAAGAUACCCGAAAAACCUUACCAGGUCUUGACAUGUUUUUGCAAAAUGAUAGUAAUAUCGUGGAGGUUACCAGAAACACAGGUGGUGCAUGGUUGUCGUCAGCUCGUGUCGUGAGAUGUUAGGUUAAGUCCUAAAACGAGCGAAACCCUUAUCGUUAGUUGCCAGCACGUUAUGGUGGGGACUUUAACGAGACUGCCAAUGAUAAAUUGGAGGAAGGUGAGGAUCACGUCAAAUCAGCAUGCCCCUUAUGACCUGGGCUACAAACGUGAUACAAUGGCUGUUACAAAGGGUAGCUGAAACGCAAGUUCUUGGCCAAUCCCCAAAAACAGUCCCAGUCCGGAUUGAAGUCUGCAACUCGACUUCAUGAAGUUGGAAUCGCUAGUAAUCGCGAAUCAGCAUGUCGCGGUGAAUACGUUCUCGGGGUUUGUACACACCGCCCGUCA